CAUAUUUGUAAGCGGUACAUCUGAAAACUUUUGUCAAGAUCUCCGAACGAACUUGGACAUGGCUCAACCGUUUUCAAAAGGUUCAGACGAUCAUGAGUUCCUUGAAUCUGUGGAGAGAAUUCCCGACCAAGAGGCAGAAGGGGUGAAUUCCUCUACCGUCAACCACUAUUCAUCGAGCCCUCCGGUUGAGCUCACAAUUUUUUUCACGGGACCUUAAACAACUGGCGAUGUCUUUAGAAACGUAUGCAGAGGUUACUGUGGCUAAUAACAAACGUCUAAAUAACUCUAGGCCUGUUCAAGCUGUUCAACCACUAACCUGUAGGCCACCAUCACCGCCUGUUAUCAGUAUUGUUUAGUCAACGGUGACACGUCAUACCAGGAUCAGACACUGGAGUCGGAAGUGGGAGAAGCAACAGCGGCGGCAGCAUCACCUCCUGACGAUCUUUCCCAACGGGAGCGUAUGUUGCCUCUUCUGGAUCGAGCGUUUGCUAAUCUGAUCUCUACGCCUGUAUACGGUCCUGGGUGUGGGUUUGGUUCUGCAUUGUAUGACGUGUUGAGAUUUCUAAAUCAGUGUACAUCAGAAGAAAUAUUGCUGUUACACAUGCAUACUGAAUAUAUGGCAUCAUACUAUGGCUCAAAUACCUGAAUAAUAACCAACUAGGUAAUGCUUUCAAAAAAUCUGAAAACAUACAGGUUAGUCAAAAUGACAUUUUCUAUGAACUGAAUCAAAGUUUAAUACAUUUACAAAAUAGUUUAUGCCAGCAAGCUUCUUUGAACCAAUAUGUACUACACGCAUAUGUACUACACGCAUAUGUACUAGCAUUAACGUCAGAAUCUGUUAGUCAAAAUGAAUAUGAACUGCAGAGUCCUGAAAACACACAGGUUAGUCAACAUGACAUUUUCUAUUAACUGAAUCAGUGCUUGGCUGCAUUAAAUGAGAGGCUCUUAAGUGGUGAAUGUACUCAAUAGCUAGGUUCACAGAAUUCUUCAACUUGUUUUGAUAACGAAGAACAGAGUCCUGGAAUGUAUGAAACUGAUGUAGAAUUUCUCCCUUCAGAUAAUACUGAAAACCGUAUGGAAAUGAAACAAACGGUAUGGUAUAGAUCCUGACAUUAGAAUAAUUCGUAAAGAAAAGUUCAAUAACACAGAAAUUAGGAGGAGAGUUAAUUUUGCCUCACUGGGUAACAUUAAUAGUACUGCAGAAUUUUCCAAUUACGUUCUAGAGGUUAUAAACGGUAUGAUGGAUACCGUUAAUGAAAUAGCUAGUCUGAGAGAUGCUGUAAAUUUUCUAGUUCAAAGUCCUAAUCUGAAUUUUUCAUCACAACUUGAGUCGAAUCAGGGCCGUGGAACUAGACUCUUUUCUAGCCACGCUUGAGAAAGCUAUGCAGAGCAAUCUUGAGAUCCUGGCAAGUGAUGGUAUGGAAUUUGUGAUUCCGAUAGUGCACCCCCCCCCCCCUAAAGGAGGUGUUAGGAAUAAAUUAUCACAUCUCUUCAGAUCAGAUGUUUUCCGAAGGAAGAUGAGACAUCUGUAUGUUUUUUACAACACUGACAACAAUCUGUCUUCUGCCUUAUGUGUCGCACAGCUUUUGAAUCCUCAGGAAACGCCCCAAUACGUUAAAAAUGUUGCUAGUCAGAUACAGCGGGGUGUAGGAUUAUCUGAUAACUAUACGGUUAGUUUUAACAAUAUAAACCGAUUUGAGAAGGUAAUGAAUUGUAAAAUAGUUGUGUUGUGUCAGACGUUCAACAAAAGCGGUUACUAUUUUUUUUUAAACUAGCAGGACACCCCAUGAGAGAACCAUUUUCUUAUUCUUACGCGACAACCAUUACUACGGUGUUAAAAAUAUUGAGGGUCUUCUCGGGUUUCAAUACGUCUGUUGUUUUUGUUACAAAGGGUUCACAAGUAUGAGAAAACACAGAUGCGAGUAUUACUGUAACGUAUGUCUUGAUCGGGAAUGUAAUAGUUAUACUCAGAAUACGUGUUCAGAUUGUCUAAGACUGUAGGUCAGAUUACUGCUACGAAAAACACAAAGAAGAGAUGCGAAACUUGUUGGGUGAUACAUAUUCGUUAUGCAAAAUAGGAUUCUACUGCCCCAAAUGCGGAAUGGUAGAACAUCUGAGCCCCUUUAGCACAGGUAAAAAAGAACAUAAAUGUGCUCAGCCUCGGUGCAAAGUUUGUAAUGAAAAAAUAGAAUCGGAGGUCAAACACGAAUGUUUCAUACAACAGGUAGAGAGGUAGAGACGGCAGACAGGUAGAGAUGGCAGACGAACGUUACAUAUUUUAUGAUAUAGAGUCCAGACAGGAAACGGGGGUACAUAUAACUAAUUUUAUAUGCUGCAUGGGGUUUACUGAGGGUGUGUGGACGGCUGAAGGGGAUGGGUACAUUGAAGCCUUUUUUAAAAUGUUCCAUCAUAGAUACACAUUUGUAGCACAUAAUGCAAGGGGAUAUGAUUCCUAUAUUUUGUUUAAUUAUCUGGUGAAAGAAGGGGUUACUCCUACUAUCAUAGCACAAGGGGGGAAACGUUUGUGCUUUGAAGACACCACUUAUGAACAGAGAUUUAUAGACAGACUCUCAUUCCUACCUAUGAAACUUAGCGCCAUUACAAAAGCCAUGGGGUUUACAAAUGCUAAAAAGGAACAUUCCCACACUUCUACAACACCCUAGAGAAUCAGAACUAUGUGGGGUCGUAUCCUCAGCCUGAGUUUCAUGGUGUGGAUACGAUGAAGCCCAAAGAGAGGCAAGAUUUCUUUGAUUGGUAUGAAACAGUCACUGAUAAAGUCUUUGACUUCAGAAAAGAGAUUAAAGAAUACUGCUGUAAUGAUGUAAAGAUUUUGAAAACGGUAUAAAAUUUUCAGGAGUGCGAUUCUGAGAGACACAGGCGUUGACCUGUUCAAUCGAUUGCCAUAGCAUCCGUAUGCUUGAAAAUAUUCCGCACCAUGUUCCUGCCCGAAAACACUUUGGCCAUCCCUCCCCUAGAUAAAUACAUCAACUGUCAGAAAUCUUUCUCGAUGCUGUCUAUUUAAUGGCUCAAGUACAUUUCAGACAAACAGAACAUACCCAUUCAACAUGCACUUAACAAUGGGGAAGCCAAAAUCAGAAAUUAUUUUGUAGAUGGUUACUUUGAUGAUGGUAAAACGCACAAAGCGUUCAAGUUUCUCAGCUGCUUUUAUCAUGGAUGUGAUACGUGCUUUCCAUCGUGUACGCCACACCCUUUAAGUAAAACCUCAGGAACCUUCAGAGACAUUCAUCAGAACAGUCUUAACAAAAUUCAGAUGCUGCAGUGCAUUCACAAAUUGUCUGUAACCACCAUGUGCGGAACAUGAAUGGAAUGAUAUGAAAAAGAAUGAUGAAGAUGUAAAAAAAAUUCUCAAAACCUUUGACUUUCCAGAGCGCUUAAAUCCUCGGGAUGCUCUGUUUGGGGGUCGUACGAAUGCCCUAUAGCUCUAUUACACAGCUCAACCUGGUGAAAGAAUUGAUUACUAUGACUUCGCCUCCCUCUACGUUUAUGUGAAUAAGAUAAAAAUGUACCCCAUAGGUCAGCCUGUUAUCCUUUAUCGUGACUUUGGGUCAUUGGAAAACUACUUUGGCAUCAUCAAGGUAAAGGUUUUACCUCCCUGGGGGUUUUGGGCCCCUGUUCUUCCCUACUGGGUAAAGAAGAAACUCUUGUUUCCUCUCGGUAGAACCUGCGCUGAGCAACAACAGCAUAGCUGUGAUCAUGGGGAUGAUGAGAGGGCCCUGAUAGGUGCUUGGUGCAGUUUGGAGCUGAUGAUGGCCCUGCAGAAGGUACAGUUUGAUUAAAGUAUUUGAGAUUUGGCACUUUCCUAAUAGAACAAAUUAGCUGUUUUCAGAAUACAUUAAAAUGUUUAUGAAAACCAAACGAGAGCUCAGGUUAUCCUUCCUGGGUGGUUGAUGAAACCACAAAAAAAGGAGUACAUUCAAAAUAUGAGGAGAAUGAAGGCAUUAAGCUGGAGGAAGAGGAAAUUUCAGUCAACCUGGUCAAAAGGUCCGUAGCUAAGCUCACGGUGAAUUCUUUGUGGGGUAAGAUAUGUCAAAAAGCAGACAGGACAAACACGGUUUUGCUCAGAGAUCCUGAUGAGUUUUUAGAGUACAUGUUCUCGAACCUGUACGAUGGAAGUCAUUUCUCUUCUCUGAACGACGAGGUGGCAUUGAUGCAGUAGCGUCACAAGGGACAUCAGUUGCUGUAAACCAGGGUAUGCUAAUGUGUUCAUAGGUAUUUAUACGACCGCGUAUACCUGGCUCGAGCUGUACAAUUUGAUAGAUCAUUUAUAAGACCUUUGCUUGUACACAGACACGGAUAGCAUCAUCCUCAGAAGUCGUCAAGGUGAUUGGAUACCGCCUUUGGGCGAUUACCUGGGGGGUCUUACAAGUGAGUUGGACUGUGGUGACAAGAUUGUGGAAUUUGUCAGCUCAGGACCUAAAACAUACUGGUAUAGGACUCUCAAACGUAAAACAACCAUGAAAGCCAAAGGUAUCACUUUAAACUAUUCAAAUGCUAAACUCGCAAACCUGAAAUCUGAUGGAACUGGUUGACGAAUGUGAAAAACGGUGAUCAGACUAGAGUACUUACAACAGCCCACAAUCAAAUCAUGAGAGAUAAAAAGGGCUUUCUCUUGAAAAACAAAUCACAAAUGAAAAGAUUCAGGAUUGUUUAUGACAAACUUAUUUUGUUGCCUGAUUUCAGGACUCUGCCGUAUGAAUCUGAUUGUAUAUAGGAUUUGUUUUUUUGUUUUUUUCUGCUAUUGUAAAAUGUCUAACUCAUUGUUUUGAUGCUAGAAUGCAAGUACCAUUUUCAUGUAUCUUUUGCGGUCCUAGCAAUAGCGGAAAAUCUUUUUUCAUCAAAACAUUACUUGAAAAUUGUAAUGAGAUGUUGUCUAAAGUUCCUGAUAACAUUGUAUGGUGUUAUACGUGUUGGCAAGCUCUGUAUGAUGAGCUGAUGAACAAAAACAUUAAUUUUGUUCAGGGAAUACCAGAAUCUUUGUGUGAUGAUGAACUGUUUCCCCUCAGCAGGACUAACCUUCUAAUUCUAGACGAUUUGAUGAAUAAUGCCAGUAAGAACAAAGAAGUAGAAAAAGCUUUUUACAAAGUAUAGUCAUCAUAGGAACAUGAGUGUAUUGUAUUUGGUACAGAAUCUGUUUUUUCAGGGAAAAACCAGCAGAACUAUCAGCCUGAACGCAAACUACAUGAUUUUAUUUAAGAACCUCAGAGAAAAGUCACAGAUCAGCGUAUUGGCUCAUCAGCUGUAUCCGGGAAAUGCCAAAUAUUUUGUGGAAUGUUUUCAAGACGUCACCUCUAGACCUUACUGGUAUUUAUUUGUUGAUUUGAAAGCUCAGACGCCAGAAGACCUUCGUCGUAGGUCAAGCGUGUUUUCCAGGGAGACCCCUGCGUUGUACGUUCCUAAAAAAAAGCUUUAAAAUAUUGAAAAAAAAGGUCUAUACGACUAAAGUUAAAUCUAACGAUGCUGAAUACCAUUUAUAAGUCAUUCCCCCGGCAGAGGAAGGUUAUAUUCCGUAAGGCGUCGGCGGACCUCAUACUUUACAUUUACGAAUUGGCUUUUAAUCUACUCUGGUAACAUCCCUCUGACGGCUCCUCAGUAUCGGCUUUUGAAAAGACAUAAAAAGUGGAUAAAACUGUUUGCUAAUAAAAGAUCGUCUAUAGGUACAAAGAGAAAAGCUAUUAAAAAGAGGUUUCCUCUUACCCCUGCUUAGCAUAGCUGACCCCUUUAUAAGCAGUUUGAUAGCAUCGCGCAAAGAUUAAAAUGGAUACUGCAGAGAAGAUGUAUUUGGUACCCCAUCAUCAGAUAGGAAAAACUUAGAAACAUAAAACAAUAAACAAAUUUAAGACAGAUCGUGGAAAGCGACCUAAACGAAAUGAUAUGACAUAUUUUAACCAGGUCUAACUUGUACCCUUUUGAAAAGGUUGAACUUUACGCAUCGACGUUGCAACGAUUUUUAAAUAUAGUUAAAAGCGGAGAAGAAGAAAUUGCUCGAGUGACCCUAUCCCUGCCCGCCGAACCUGAAAAUAAGGCAGUGAGCGGGGUAAAGAAAGAAGCCAGUCGAAUGGUUGAGGACGAAAUCGCUAAAGAGAUAGGUAAUGUCCCUGCGAGAGCUAGAAAAUUGCUUCCUACGUCAUGGACAAAAUUGCAAAAUACGGUGAUGUAACAUUGUGGAACAAUGAAGGAGAGUUUAUUUUCAAAGGAAUAACUGUUAAAGGAUCGCACAUGUUGGACUUGAUUAAAAAGUUAACCGCCACCCAAAAGAUAUCUUUUGACCAGUGACUUUUAGGGUGGUACAAAAUGCUGCAUGCCGUAGCCAAAUUAAAUGUUCCGUAUUCAACCAUUCCUAAUGAUGGUGUUCGUCGAAAACCGUCAGACAUUUAAAAAUUCUAAAUCAUCGUAUUCACCAGUUUCACCCACUACUCCCUCAUGACCCGAUAGCAACGAUUCUUCUUCUAUUCUCGGACCUUCUGUUUCUAAACCCCUUUCCGCUUGGUUGAAAUUUGAU